GUAGGGUGUGCCAAAGGAAACAUCUACAGCCUAACAAAUCCUGGCAUUGUGUGUCCAGUGAUUUUACAUUCAGCUUGAUAUAACUGCUGUGCUGUAUGCGGGUUGAUAAUGUGACUCCUGAUACAAUCUGAAGUUGAUUACAUAAAAAUUGGUGAUAAUAUGAGAUAACAUGUGGAAUUAAUAUUUAAAAUACCUUGUGAAUGUACAUCUAGUCACCACUGGAUGGAGUGAGGAGGAGAUCAAUGAAAACCUCACAUCAGCAAAUGUCUUACAAUUACUACCUCCUUGCCAUCAUUAUGAUGCAAACAACUCAAGGAAAAGUUCAACAAUAGGAGAAGCCUAAUAGGGCUUGAGGCAGGAUUUCCAAGUAACAUUCUUUAAUUGAAGAGGGCUUGCAAUCACACCUUCUUGAUGGAUAUCGUCCAAAGAAGAUCAGAACUGGACUGCACUGUUAUUUUUUCAC